rnacentral:miRNA from 1 species
UUCAGCCCUCUCGGUCAUCCUCC